AUUGAACGCUGGCGGCAGGCCUAACACAUGCAAGUCGAGCGGAUGAAGGGAGCUUGCUCCUGGAGUCAGCGGCGGACGGGUGAGUAAUGCCUAGGAAUCUGCCUGGUAGUGGGGGAUAACGUCCGGAAACGGGCGCUAAUACCGCAUACGUCCUGAGGGAGCAAGUGGGGGAUCUUCGGACCUCAUGCUAUCAGAUGAGCCUAGGUCGGAUUAGCUAGUUGGUAGGGUAAAGGCCUACUAAGGCGACGAUCCGUAACUGGACUGAGAGGAUGAUUAGUCACACGGGAGCUGAGACACGGUCCAGACUCCUACGGGAGGCAGCAGAGGGGAAUGUUAGGCAGUGGGCGAGAGCCUGGUCCAGCCGUGCCACGUGUGUGGAGGAAGUCUUCGGAUUGUGAAGCACGUUUAGUUGGGGGAAAGGGCAGUAAGUUAAUACGUUGCUGUUUUGACGGUACCGACAGAAUAAGCACCGGCUAACUACGUG
rnacentral:rRNA from 1 species